rnacentral:rRNA from 1 species
AUGAACGCUGGCGGGGGGCCUAAACAAGCACAGUGAACCAAAAGAAGGGGGGGUUGCCUCUCUGACGGUUGGGGGGGGCGGGUGAAGAAACCGUGGGUAAACUACCUAUUAAACUGGGGUAAAUUUGGGAAACCGGGGGCUAAUACGGAAAAUAUAUUGAACCGCAAGGGUUAAUUAUGAAAGACGGGUUUUGCUUUCCUUAAUAAUGGAAUCGCGCCGCAUUAGCUAGUUGGUAAGGUAACGGCUUACCAAGGCAAAGAUGCGUAGCCGACCUGAGAGGGUGAUCGGCCACACUGGAACUGAGACACGGUCCAGACUCCUACGGGAGGCAGCAGUAGGGAAUCUUCCGCAAUGGGCGAAAGCCUGACGGAGCAACGCCGCGUGAGUGAUGAAGGUCUUCGGAUCGUAAAACUCUGUUAUUAGGGAAGAACAAAUGUGUAAGUAACUAUGCACGUCUUGACGGUACCUAAUCAGAAAGCCACGGCUAACUACGUG